ACCCGAUGCAAACUGCGAAUACCGGAGAAUGUUAUCACGGGAGACACACGGCGGGUGCUAACGUCCGUCGUGAAGAGGGAAACAACCCAGACCGCCAGCUAAGGUCCCAAAGUCAUGGUUAAGUGGGAAACGAUGUGGGAAGGCCCAGACAGCCAGGAUGUUGGCUUAGAAGCAGCCAUCAUUUAAAGAAAGCGUAAUAGCUCACUGGUCGAGUCGGCCUGCGCGGAAGAUGUAACGGGGCUAAACCAUGCACCGAAGCUGCGGCAGCGACGCUUAUGCGUUGUUGGGUAGGGGAGCGUUCUGUAAGCCUGCGAAGGUGUGCUGUGAGGCAUGCUGGAGGUAUCAGAAGUGCGAAUGCUGACAUAAGUAACGAUAAAGCGGGUGAAAAGCCCGCUCGCCGGAAGACCAAGGGUUCCUGUCCAACGUUAAUCGGGGCAGGGUGAGUCGACCCCUAAGGCGAGGCCGAAAGGCGUAGUCGAUGGGAAACAGGUUAAUAUUCCUGUACUUGGUGUUACUGCGAAGGGGGGACGGAGAAGGCUAUGUUGGCCGGGCGACGGUUGUCCCGGUUUAAGCGUGUAGGCUGGUUUUCCAGGCAAAUCCGGAAAAUCAAGGCUGAGGCGUGAUGACGAGGCACUACGGUGCUGAAGCAACAAAUGCCCUGCUUCCAGGAAAAGCCUCUAAGCAUCAGGUAACAUCAAAUCGUACCCCAAACCGACACAGGUGGUCAGGUAGAGAAUACCAAGGCGCUUGAGAGAACUCGGGUGAAGGAACUAGGCAAAAUGGUGCCGUAACUUCGGGAGAAGGCACGCUGAUAUGUAGGUGAAGUCCCUUGCGGAUGGAGCUGAAAUCAGUCGAAGAUACCAGCUGGCUGCAACUGUUUAUUAAAAACACAGCACUGUGCAAACACGAAAGUGGACGUAUACGGUGUGACGCCUGCCCGGUGCCGGAAGGUUAAUUGAUGGGGUCAGCGCAAGCGAAGCUCUUGAUCGAAGCCCCGGUAAACGGCGGCCGUAACUAUAACGGUCCUAAGGUAGCGAAAUUCCUUGUCGGGUAAGUUCCGACCUGCACGAAUGGCGUAAUGAUGGCCAGGCUGUCUCCACCCGAGACUCAGUGAAAUUGAACUCGCUGUGAAGAUGCAGUGUACCCGCGGCAAGACGGAAAGACCCCGUGAACCUUUACUAUAGCUUGACACUGAACAUUGAGCCUUGAUGUGUAGGAUAGGUGGGAGGCUUUGAAGUGUGGACGCCAGUCUGCAUGGAGCCGGCCUUGAAAUACCACCCUUUAAUGUUUGAUGUUCUAACGUGGACCCGUGAUCCGGGUUGCGGACAGUGUCUGGUGGGUAGUUUGACUGGGGCGGUCUCCUCCUAAAGAGUAACGGAGGAGCACGAAGGUUGGCUAAUCCUGGUCGGACAUCAGGAGGUUAGUGCAAUGGCAUAAGCCAGCUUGACUGCGAGCGUGACGGCGCGAGCAGGUGCGAAAGCAGGUCAUAGUGAUCCGGUGGUUCUGAAUGGAAGGGCCAUCGCUCAACGGAUAAAAGGUACUCCGGGGAUAACAGGCUGAUACCGCCCAAGAGUUCAUAUCGACGGCGGUGUUUGGCACCUCGAUGUCGGCUCAUCACAUCCUGGGGCUGAAGUAGGUCCCAAGGGUAUGGCUGUUCGCCAUUUAAAGUGGUACGCGAGCUGGGUUUAGAACGUCGUGAGACAGUUCGGUCCCUAUCUGCCGUGGGCGCUGGAGAACUGAGGGGGGCUGCUCCUAGUACGAGAGGACCGGAGUGGACGCAUCACUGGUGUUCGGGUUGUCAUGCCAAUGGCACUGCCCGGUAGCUAAAUGCGGAAGAGAUAAGUGCUGAAAGCAUCUAAGCACGAAACUUGCCCCGAGAUGAGUUCUCCCUGACCCUUUAAGGGUCCUGAAGGAACGUUGA
rnacentral:rRNA from 1 species